AGAGUUUGAUCCUGGCUCAGGAUGAACGCUGGCGGUCUGCUUAACACAUGCAAGUUGAACGCAGUACUUCGGUACUGAGUGGCGGACGGGUGAGUAACGCGUGAGAAUCUGCCUAGAGGUCGGGGACAACCAUUGGAAACGAUGGCUAAUACCGGAUAUGCCUUACGGGGUGAAAGAUUAAUCGCCUUUAGAAGAGCUCGCGUCUGAUUAGCUAGUUGGUAGGGUAAAAGCCUACCAAGGCAUCGAUCAGUAGCUGGUCUGAGAGGAUGACCAGCCACACUGGGACUGAGACACGGCCCAGACUCCUACGGGAGGCAGCAGUGGGGAAUUUUCCGCAAUGGGCGAAAGCCUGACGGAGCAAGACCGCGUGAGGGAGGAAGGCUCUUGGGUUGUAAACCUCUUUUGUCAGGGAAGAACACAAUGACGGUACCUGACGAAUCAGCAUCGGCUAACUCCGUGCCAGCAGCCGCGGUAAUACGGAGGAUGCAAGCGUUAUCCGGAAUUAUUGGGCGUAAAGCGUCCGCAGGUGGCUUAUCAAGUCUGCGGUCAAAGACCGGGGCUUAACCCUGGAAAGGCCGUGGAAACUGAUAAAGCUAGAGUACCGUAGGGGUAGAGGGAAUUCCCGGUGUAGCGGUGAAAUGCGUAGAGAUCGGGAAGAACAUCGGUGGCGAAAGCGCUCUACUGGACGGUGACUGACACUCAGGGACGAAAGCUAGGGGAGCGAAUGGGAUUAGAUACCCUAGUAGUCC
rnacentral:rRNA from 1 species